rnacentral:rRNA from 1 species
GCCCAACCGAUAUGACGUGCUUGCACUGAAUUGACGUUGGAUUCCCAGUGAGCGGCGGACGGGUGAGUAACACGUGGGCAACCUGCCCUGAAGCGGGGGAUAACAUCUGGAAACAGGUGCUAAUACCGCAUAACAACGAAAACCACAUGGUUUUCGUUUCAAAGAUGGUUUCGGCUAUCACUUCAGGAUGGGCCCGCGGUGCAUUAGCUAGUUGGUAAGGUAACGGCUUACCAAGGCGAUGAUGCAUAGCCGAGUUGAGAGACUGAUCGGCCACAAUGGAACUGAGACACGGUCCAUACUCCUACGGGAGGCAGCAGUAGGGAAUCUUCCACAAUGGGCGCAAGCCUGAUGGAGCAACACCGCGUGAGUGAAGAAGGGUUUCGGCUCGUAAAGCUCUGUUGUUGGAGAAGAACGUGCGUGAGAGUAACUGUUCACGCAGUGACGGUAUCCAACCAGAAAGUCACGGCUAACUACGUGCCAGCAGCCGCGGUAAUACGUAGGUGGCAAGCGUUAUCCGGAUUUAUUGGGCGUAAAGCGAGCGCAGGCGGUUGCUUAGGUCUGAUGUGA